GAGAUGGAUUGGUGCCUUCGGGAACCGUGAGACAGGUGCUGCAUGGCUGUCGUCAGCUCGUGUUGUGAAAUGUUGGGUUAAGUCCCGCAACGAGCGCAACCCUUAUCCUUUGUUGCCAGCGGUCCGGCCGGGAACUCAAAGGAGACUGCCAGUGAUAAACUGGAGGAAGGUGGGGAUGACGUCAAGUCAUCAUGGCCCUUACGACCAGGGCUACACACGUGCUACAAUGGCGCAUACAAAGAGAAGCGACCUCGC
rnacentral:rRNA from 1 species